rnacentral:rRNA from 1 species
UACGUAGGGUCCGAGCGUUGUCCGGAAUUAUUGGGCGUAAAGGGCUCGUAGGCGGUCUGUUGCGUCGGGAGUGAAAACUUACAGCUUAACUGUGAGCGUGCUUUCGAUACGGGCAGACUUGAGGCAUUCAGGGGAGAACGGAAUUCCUGGUGUAGCGGUGAAAUGCGCAGAUAUCAGGAGGAACACCGGUGGCGAAGGCGGCGACCUGGGUCGAGACUGACGCUGAGGUGCGAAAGCGUGGGGAGCAAACAGG